rnacentral:rRNA from 1 species
AACGAACGCUGGCGGCAGGCUUAACACAUGCAAGUCGAGCGCCCCGCAAGGGGAGCGGCAGACGGGUGAGUAACGCGUGGGAAUCUACCCAUCUCUACGGAAUAACGCAUGGAAACGUGUGCUAAUACCGUAUACGUCCUUCGGGAGAAAGAUUUAUCGGAGAUGGAUGAGCCCGCGUUGGAUUAGCUAGUUGGUGGGGUAAAGGCCUACCAAGGCGACGAUCCAUAGCUGGUCUGAGGGGAUGAUCAGCCACACUGGGACUGAGACACGGCCCAGACUCCUACGGGAGGCAGCAGUGGGGAAUAUUGGACAAUGGGCGCAAGCCUGAUCCAGCCAUACCGCGUGAGUGAUGAAGGCCCUAGGGUUGUAAAGCUCUUUCACCGGUGAAGAUAAUGACGGUAACCGGAGAAGAAGCCCCGGCUAACUUCGUGCCAGCCGCCGCGGUAAUAC